ACAGUGGUGGUUCAGUGGUAGAAUUCUUGCCUUCCAUGCAGGAGACCUGAGUUCGGUUCCUGGCCAAGGCA
rnacentral:tRNA from 1 species